AUACGUACUGUGCGAACGUUAUUCGGAAUCACUGGGCUUAAAGGGUGCGUAGGCGGCUGGAUAAGUAGGGUGUGAAAUCCCUCGGCUCAACCGAGGAACUGCGCUCUAAACUGUCCGGCUCGAGUGAGAUAGGGGUGUGCGGAACUUCCAGUGGAGCGGUGAAAUGUGUUGAUAUUGGAAGGAACGCCGGUGGCGAAAGCGGCACACUGGGUCUCAACUGACGCUGAGGCUCGAAAGCCAGGGUAGCGAACGGGAUUAGAAACCCCAGUAGUCC
rnacentral:rRNA from 1 species